UGGACAAAUUAUUAUAUUAGAUUGUAUUCAUGACGUGAAAUAGGGGAUUACACUAUUUUUAAAACAUAAAGUGAAUCAAUUAACAUAAUAGACUCCU
rnacentral:pre_miRNA from 1 species